rnacentral:rRNA from 1 species
UGCCACCUGAAACUCAUAAGUGGUACGUCCUGCCCAGUGAAUAUAAACGGCCGCGGUAUCCUAACCGUGCAAAGGUAGCAUAAUCACUUGCCCAUUAAUUGUGGGCUAGAAUGAACGGAUAAACGAGGACACAGCUGUCUCUUUGAAGAACCUAAAAAUUAAUUUCCGAGUGAAGAAGCUCGGAUACAGUCGCAGGACAAGAAGACCCUAUAGAGCUUUACCCGACAAUUACCUCCAACGUUCUUUAGGGUUCGGUUGGGGCGACCCAGGGACAUUAAACACCCUGCUAAUUUAAGAUUAACUCAUCAUACUAUAGACCCUAAAAGUAGAUCAUUGAAUCUAGCUACCUUAGGGAUAACAGGCUAAUUCUCCUAGAGAGCCCUUAUCGACAGGAGAGGUUGGCACCUCGAUGUUGGCUUAGGACUUCUUCAUGAAGCAGCAUUCACGAAUAGAUGGUUUGUUCAACCAUUAAUAUCCU